rnacentral:rRNA from 1 species
UACGUAGGGGGCUAGCGUUGUCCGGAAUCAUUGGGCGUAAAGCGCGCGUAGGCGGCCCGGUAAGUCCGCUGUAAAAGUCCAGGGCUCAACCCUGGAAAGCCGGUGGAUACUGUCGGGCUCGAGUCCGGAAGAGGCGAGUGGAAUUCCUGGUGUAGCGGUGGAAUGCGCAGAUAUCAGGAGGAACACCAAUGGCGAAGGCAGCUCGCUGGGACGGUACUGACGCUGGGGAGCGAAAGCGUGGGGAGCGAACGAGG